UACAGGGGGGGCAAGCGUUGUUCGGAAUUACUGGGCGUAAAGGGUCUGUAGGUGGCUUGCUAAGUCAGACGUGAAAUCCCUCAGCUUAACUGGGGAACUGCGUCUGAUACUGGCAAGCUUGAGUGCAGGAGAGGAACGCGGAAUUCCAGGUGUAGCGGUGAAAUGCGUAGAUAUCUGGAGGAACACCGGUGGCGAAGGCGGCAUCCUGGACCGACAUUGACGCUGAGGCGCGAAAGCCAGGGGAGCAAACGGG
rnacentral:rRNA from 1 species